CCUACGGGAGGCAGCAGUGAGGAAUAUUGGUCAAUGGACGAGAGUCUGAACCAGCCAAGUAGCGUGAAGGAUGACUGCCCUAUGGGUUGUAAACUUCUUUUAUAUGGGAGUAAAAUGUUCCACGUGUGGGAUUUUGUAUGUACCAUAUGAAUAAGGAUCGGCUAACUCCGUGCCAGCAGCCGCGGUAAUACGGAGGAUCCGAGCGUUAUCCGGAUUUAUUGGGUUUAAAGGGAGCGUAGGUGGAUUGUUAAGUCAGUUGUGAAAGUUUGCGGCUCAACCGUAAAAUUGCAGUUGAAACUGGCAGUCUUGAGUGCAGUAGAGGUAGGCGGAAUUUGUGGUGUAGCGGUGAAAUGCUUAGAUAUCACGAAGAACUCCGAUUGCGAAGGCAGUUCACUGGACUGCAACUGACACUGAGGCUCGAAAGUGUGGGUAUCAAACAGGAUUAGAUACCCGAGUAGUC
rnacentral:rRNA from 1 species